rnacentral:rRNA from 1 species
GACGAACCGUGCGAACGUUAUUCGGAAUCACUGGGCUUAAAGGGUGCGUAGGCGGGUUGCCAAGUCUGUGGUGAAAUCCUCCGGCUUAACCGGAGAACUGCCGUGGAUACUGGCGACCUCGAGGGGUGUAGGGGCUUGCGAAACUGUGCGUGGAGCGGUGAAAUGCGUUGAUAUGCACAGGAACUCCGGUGGCGAAAGCGGCGAGCUGGACACCUUCUGACGCUGAGGCACGAAAGCCAGGGGAGCGAACGGG